rnacentral:lncRNA from 1 species
AUAGGCAUCUGUUAUGUUUUGAAUAGCAGUUACAUAGAGUCAAAUAGUUGUUCAAUAAGUAGAUUCUUCGAAGGAGACACCAACAUGUUGGUUUGCGGUCAGGGACUCAGACGCUAUAAGUAAGUUAAUAGGGAUUUGAUUUCUAGCUUUUUCGCAUUAGAGAAAACUUAGUUGUGAGGGGGAAAACUCACUUUGUUUCCCAAAGUAUAUCACAUAUGGUUAAUGUUGUAAAUAUGAUAUAUGGUAUUCAGUAUUCACAUAUGAUAGAACUCUUAUAGGAAGAGGGUUAUUACUUUUCGGACAAGAUAUUAGUUUAGUGAAUGUACUAUAUUAUGAUUUUUAAAUAAUAUAUUUAAAACACCAUUUCCCAAUUUUACAUGGCAUCA